AAUCUCACUAACACAGUCCAGUAUCUCUAUAAUAACCAGGUCAGACAUCUCACUAACACAGUCCAGUAUCUCUAUAAUAACCAGGUCAGACAUCUCACUAACACAGUCCAGUAUCUCUAUAAUAACCAGGUCAGACAUCUCACUAACACAGUCCAGUAUCUCUAUAAUAACCAGGUCAGACAUCUCACUAACACAGUCCAGUAUCUCUAUAAUAACCAGGUCAGACAUCUCACUAACACAGUCCAGUAUCUCUAUAAUAACCAGGUCAGACAUCUCACUAACACAGUCCAGUAUCUCUAUAAUAACCAGGUCAGACAUCUCACUAACACAGUCCAGUAUCUCUAUAAUAACCAGGUCAGACAUCUCACUAACACAGUCCAGUAUCUCUAUAAUAACCAGGUCAGACAUCUCACUAACACAGUCCAGUAUCUCUAUAAUAACCAGGUCAGACAUCUCACUAACACAGUCCAGUAUCUCUAUAAUAACCAGGUCAGAUCUCUCACUAACACAGUCCAGUAUCUCUAUAAUAACCAGGUCAGACAUCUCACUAACACA